rnacentral:tRNA from 1 species
UUACUUGAGCAAGAUGGUGCAUUAGAUUUAGGAUCUAAUUAAAUAGGAGUGUCCUAUAGGUAAAAG